rnacentral:rRNA from 1 species
GAAUUUUCCGCAAUGGGCGAAAGCCUGACGGAGCAAUGCCGCGUGCAGGAUGAAGCCCCUCGGGGUGUAAACUGCUGUCAGGGUUCAGCAACUCAAUGAGCAGACCCAAAGGAAGGGCCGACUAAAUCUGUGCCAGCAGUCGCGGUAAUACAGAGGGCCCGAGCGUUACGCGGAAUCACUGGGCUUAAAGCGUGCGUAGGCGGACAUGCAGGCACUUUGUGAAAUCCCUCGGCUCAACCGGGGAACCGCUUGGUGAACCGCAUGUCUUGAGGCAAGUAGGGGCGGUCGGAACGAUCGGUGGAGCGGUGAAAUGCGUUGAUAUCGAUCGGAACGCCGAAGGUGAAAACAGGCCGCUGGGCUUGUACUGACGCUGAGGCACGAAAGCGUGGGGAGCGAACGGG